AGUGAACGCUGGCGGUAGGCCUAACACAUGCAAGUCGAACGGCAGCACAGUAAGAGCUUGCUCUUACGGGUGGCGAGUGGCGGACGGGUGAGGAAUACAUCGGAAUCUACUUUUUCGUGGGGGAUAACGUAGGGAAACUUACGCUAAUACCGCAUACGACCUACGGGUGAAAGCAGGGGAUCUUCGGACCUUGCGCGAUUGAAUGAGCCGAUGUCGGAUUAGCUAGUUGGCGGGGUAAAUGCCCACCAAGGCGACGAUCCGUAGCUGGUCUGAGGGGAUGAUCAGCCACACUGGAACUGAGACACGGUCCAGACUCCUACGGGAGGCAGCAGUGGGGAAUAUUGGACAAUGGGCGCAAGCCUUAUCCAGCCAUACCGCGUGGGUGAAGAAGGCCUUCGGGUUGUAAAGCCCUUUUGUUGGGAAAGAAAAGCAGCAGGUUAAUACCCCGCUGUUCUGACGGUACCCAAAGAAUAAGCACCGGCUAACUUCGUG
rnacentral:rRNA from 1 species